UACGUAGGGGGCAAGCGUUGUCCGGAUUUAUUGGGCGUAAAGAGCGUGUAGGCGGCCAUACAGGUCCGUUGUGAAAACUGGAGGCUUAACCUCCAGACGUCGAUGGAAACCGUAUGGCUAGAGUCCGGAAGAGGAGAGUGGAAUUCCUGGUGUAGCGGUGAAAUGCGCAGAUAUCAGGAAGAACACCGGUGGCGAAGGCGGGUCUCUGGGCCGAUACUGACGCUGAGGAGCGAAAGCGUGGGGAGCGAACAGG
rnacentral:rRNA from 1 species